rnacentral:rRNA from 1 species
GAUGAACGCUAGCGAUAGGCCUAACACAUGCAAGUCGAGGGGCAUCACAUGAAGUAGCAAUACGGAUGGUGGCGACCGGCGCACGGGUGAGUAACACGUAUGCAACCUGCCUUCAACAAGGGGAUAACCCGUUGAAAGACGGACUAAUACCCUAUAACACAGGGGUCCCGCAUGGGAAUAUUUGUUAAAGGACAACCGGUUGAAGAUGGGCAUGCGUUCCAUUAGCUAGUUGGCGGGGUAACGGCCCACCAAGGCAACGAUGGAUAGGGGAACUGAGAGGUUUAUCCCCCACACUGGUACUGAGACACGGACCAGACUCCUACGGGAGGCAGCAGUGAGGAAUAUUGGUCAAUGGACGCAAGUCUGAACCAGCCACGUCGCGUGAAGGAAGACGGCCCUACGGGUUGUAAACUUCUUUUGCAAGGGAAUAAAGUGGGCCACGUGUGGCCUUUUGCAAGUACCUUGCGAAUAAGGAUCGGCUAACUCCGUGCCAGCAGCCGCGGUAAAUACUGACU